rnacentral:rRNA from 1 species
AGAUUGAACGCUGGCGGCAUGCUUUACACAUGCAAGUCGAACGGCAGCGCGGGGCAACCUGGCGGCGAGUGGCGAACGGGUGAGUAAUAUAUCGGAACGUACCCAAGAGUGGGGGAUAACGUAGCGAAAGUUACGCUAAUACCGCAUACGAUCUAAGGAUGGAAGCAGGGGACCGCAAGGCCUUGUGCUCCUGGAGCGGCCGAUAUCUGAUUAGCUAGUUGGUAGGGUAAAGGCCUACCAAGGCUACGAUCAGUAGCUGGUCUGAGAGGACGACCAGCCACACUGGAACUGAGACACGGUCCAGACUCCUACGGGAGGCAGCAGUGGGGAAUUUUGGACAAUGGGCGCAAGCCUGAUCCAGCAAUGCCGCGUGAGUGAAGAAGGCCUGGUUGUAAGCUCUUUUGUCAGGAAGAAACGGUGGGACGUAAGUAUCCUCCACUAAUGACGGUACCUAGAAGAAUAAGACACCGGACUAACUACGUGACC